AACAUGUUUUUUUGCAACUGCCA
rnacentral:siRNA from 1 species